rnacentral:rRNA from 1 species
CAGUAGCCGCGGUAAUACGUAGGGUGCAAGCGUUGUCCGGAAUUAUUGGGCGUAAAGAGCGUGUAGGCGGCCCGAUUAGUCCGCUGUGAAAGUCCAGGGCUCAACCCUGGAAUGCCGGUGAAUACUGUCGGGCUAGAGUCCGGAAGGGGCGAGUGGAAUUCCUGGUGUAGCGGUGAAAUGCGCAGAUAUCAGGAGGAACACCAAUGGCGAAGGCAGCUCGCUGGGACGUGACUGACGCUGAGACGCGAAAGCGUGGGGAGCAAACAGGAUUAGAUACCCCGGUAGUCCCUGUCUCUUAUAC